GACAGAGGAUGCAAGCGUUAUCCGGAAUGAUUGGGCGUAAAGCGUCUGUAGGUGGCUUUUUUAAGUCCGCCGUCAACUCCCCAGGGCUCAACCCCUGGACAGGCGGUGGAAACUACCAAGCUGGAGUACGGUAGGGGCAGAGGGAAUUUCCGGUGGAGCGGUGAAAUGCGUAGAGAUCGGAAAGACCACCAAUGGCGAAGGCACUCUACUGGGCCAUUACUGACACUGAGAGACGAAAAGCUAGGGGGAGCAAAAUGGG
rnacentral:rRNA from 1 species